GAUGAACUAGGAAAGGCUCAAGAUC
rnacentral:piRNA from 1 species